UGGGGAAUCUUGCGCAAUGGGCGAAAGCCUGACGCAGCCAUGCCGCGUGAAUGAUGAAGGUCUUAGGAUUGUAAAAUUCUUUUAGCAGGGACGAUAAUGACGGUACCUGCAGAAAAAGCCCCGGCUAACUUCGUGCCAGCAGCCGCGGUAAUACGAAGGGGGCUAGCGUUGCUCGGAAUUACUGGGCGUAAAGGGAGCGUAGGCGGGUUAUCAAGUUGGAGGUGAAAGCCCAGGGCUCAACCUUGGAAUUGCCUUCAAAACUGAUAACCUAGAGGAUGAUAGAGGUAAGUGGAACUCCGAGUGUAGAGGUGAAAUUCGUAGAUAUUCGGAAGAACACCAGUGGCGAAGGCGACUUACUGGAUCAUUACUGACGCUGAGGCUCGAAAGCGUGGGGAGCAAACA
rnacentral:rRNA from 1 species